AGAGUUUGAUCCUGGCUCAGGACGAACGCUGGCGGCGUGCCUAAUACAUGCAAGUCGAGCGGAUUCACCAAGUUGCUUGCAACUUGGUGGGUUAGCGGCGGACGGGUGAGUAACACGUAGGUAACCUGCCUGCAAGACUGGGAUAACAUUCGGAAACGAAUGCUAAGACCGGAUACGCAAGUCUGGGGCAUCUUGGACUU
rnacentral:rRNA from 1 species